rnacentral:rRNA from 1 species
AUGGUGGCCAUUACGGCCGACUAUCCCGGACUGCUUCCUGCAUCGCACGGAAGGCCUUCGGGACGCCGUGCCGAACCCGCAGCAACUCGUCAACAAGAGGCACCGAUGCCGGGCAGGCCAAGAAGGAAGGCGGUCAAGAUGAAGACGCCGGCGCAGAGAAAAAAUGCUCGCCGGAAUGUGUCCGGUGAGGCUGCCGAUCAUGCUUCCACCAGUCGGGUUCCAGGACCGGACAUAGAGGCGGAAGCCGACAUGGGGCGAACGCCGAAUACUCCUCCUACAGAGGAUGCAGAUAGACUAUCCGCUACAAAUUCAAAAGUGGAGAGCGCCAUGAAUCAUAGGCGUCGCCGAGCCGUACUCCGUGACGCUUGCUUCUCCCUAGAGGCAUUUGAUGCCUUCAAUUCUGGAGCCGCGUACCUCCGUGCUGCUCAAAAUGGUCUAGCCAGAGCCACAGACGAAUAUGUAAGGGAUGUACGGGUUCUUACAGAGAAGAAUACUCGACUGUCACAGGAGCUGGAGGAAUGCAAGACCCAACUUCGGGCCGCCAUUGCCGCAUUGAAGGAACCUAAAAAGUCCCCAGCAGAUGAAUCUAGAGAGAAUCCGGAAGACCAGCAUGCCGUACGAUAG